rnacentral:snRNA from 1 species
GUGCUCGCUUCAGCAGCAUACACACUAAAACUGGAACAUAACAGAGAUUAGCAUGGCCCCUGUGCAAGGAUGACAUGCAAAUUCGUGAAGUGUCCCAUAUUAAA